GGACUACCAGGGUUUCUAAUCCUGUUCGCUCCCCACGCUCUCGCGCCUCAGCGUCAGUAUGAUGCCAGGUGGCUGCCUUCGCCAUUGACGUUCCUUCCGAUCUCUACGCAUUUCACCGCUACACCGGAAAUUCCACCACCCUCUCAUCUACUCCAGUUCAAUAGUUUGCAUUGCACUUCCCAGGUUAAGCCCGGGGCUUUCACAACACACACACUAAACCGCCUACGCGCCCUUUACGCCCAGUAACUCCGAUUAACGCUCGCACCCUCUGUAUUACCGCGGCUGCUGGCAC
rnacentral:rRNA from 1 species